rnacentral:lncRNA from 1 species
ACAAGUUUUUAAAUCCUGUUAUCUCUGUAAUGACUUAGUUUCUAGACAAAAUUGGCAUCCUUUUAAAAACUUGAAUUUUUUUCUUCAGCUCCUUUCCUUUUUCAUAAAUGUAGCCUAGAAGAUAAAUCUGUUGUAUGAAGCCCCAGACUGAAGGCAAAAAGAAACUACAGGAAGGAGGUCACAUAGUUUCAUAUGAUAAAGCCAAGAUAAGAGAGACAUCAAAUCACUCACGUCUCUUUGCCACUGAUGUUUGAACUUGCCAGUGUAGAAGUGAAAGAAUGAUGAUGUGAAAGAUGUGAAGCACUCAACACCCAGAAGCCCACUCAGAAGUAACCCUUUAACAGCUCAGGGGAAAAGUUCCUACUCAGUAGAAGGCGGUGGAAUCUCAGCGUUUUGCUCCUGCACACACACACACACAAAUCUAUUUAUAUACCAUCGCUGUUAACCUUAUUUCCCUCAGUUAAAGUCACUGCGUUGCUCAAUUCCACGAACGCUUUCCCUGGAGAACAGCCAGCAGAGCAGUGAAGUGGGAGCCAAGAAGACCUGGGUUCAAGGCCCAGCUCCAUCAGUGACUACCCUCAUAGGUGUAACUCCCUCACUUCAGCUUUCCCAUCUGUACAAUGGCGAUGAUGAUAAUAGAUUUGGGAGCACAAAAGCUUUCUGCAAGCAUACCUACAGUUGACCUUGUCAUGAGGGGUUGUGUGAAGCUGAUAGAGAGCGUAGGAACUAUUGUAUUCCACCUUCAGCAGCAACAGUUUCGUCAGUUAGACUGCGACUGCUGAAUCUUUAUUCCCGGGAUGUGGUGAGACAGGGCGACAGCUUCCAGAUUGCUGACUAGCUAUUUUGGUACUUGUAAACUUGUGGCACAACUGACUUGUAAAUCAAUGCUUGUAUAAAUGCAUCUGAAACCCAAACAUAAAAACCUAUCAUUUUAACUAUUGAGUCUUUUUCACAUUAAAAUUAUUAUUUUCUCUAAUUCUUCUUCAUCUUUUCUUUACAUUUUAUGUCAUUUAUGAAACAAGCAGGGUUAACUACCAAAGAGAAAAAGAAAUGUAGUUGGUAAACAGAGGACACACACCUCACUUUACACACUUCCGGUCCCUCUACAUUUUUUUCCUGUCUUCAGUCUCUUAGAUUAUUUUCUCCACCAAAAUCCUUGUCCACUGUAAUUUUCUUUAGUUGUACGUAUAGAGUUUUAUGACAGGGUAGAGCAUGACUCAGAAUAUUAAGUAGCAAGCUGGGGAAAUGAGUGCUAUGUUUCUAAUUACUAACAUCAGUGCUUCAGCUCAGUCGUCUAUAAAAUGGGACUAAGGAUACACAUGAUAUGUAAGUAAAAAUCUAUGAGCAUGUGCAAUGUGAUACAAAUUCAAAAUGAUAACAAAGCCCUCUAAGAUUCUUGAUGAGAAAGAAAACUGCUGCAUUCAAAAAGCCCAAGGUCCAGCCUGAACUAACUAGUAGAUACCAAGAUGAUACUCCUCAAAAUGCACCAAAGCUGUGACAUGAUGCUUUAGCUCCCUGGUGUGAGAAUUAGAAGGUAUAUCAGCUUUCUACUGCUGUUGUAACAAAUGACCACAAACUUAGUGGCUUAAUCUACACAAAUGUAUUCUCGUACGGUUGUGUAGGUCAGAAACUUGACAUGGAUCUCACUGGGCUAAAAUCAAGAUGUCAGCAGGACCAUAUUCCUUUCUGGAGAUUAUUCUGGAUUAUCCGGGUAGGCCCAAUAUAAUCACAAAGAUCCUUAUCAUGGAAGCAGAAGUCAGGGAGAGAGAGGGAGAGAUGCGAUGACAGAAACAGGUUGGAGUGAUGCCCUUUAAAAAUGGAGGAAGGGGGACCAUGAGCCAAGGAAUGCAGGUGGCUUCUAGAAGCUUGAAUAGGCAAGGAAUCAGAUUUGCUCCUAAAGCCUCCAGCAGGAAUGCAGGUCUGCCGACAUCUUGAUUUUAGCCUGUAAGACCCAUUGUGGACUUCUGGCUUCCAGAAUUGUAAGAUAACGAAUUUGUGUUGCUUUAAGCCAUUAAGUUUGUGGUAAUUUGUCAAAGCAGAAUAGGAAACGAAUAUAGGGAGAAUCCGUUUCCUUAUCUUUUCCAGCUCCUGAAGGUCACCUGCAGUCCUCGGCUUCUUGCCCUCACCUCCAAUUUCAAAACCAGUCAAGUCCCUCUCUCACCCUUCUUCGUUGUCACAUCUCUUUCUGAUCUCAGCCGGAAAAAGUUCUCUGAUUUUAAGAAUUUGUGUCAUUAGUUUGGGCCCACCUGGAUAAGCCAGAAUAACCGCCCCAUUUCCAGAUCCUUAAUCCUUUUCACAUCUGCAAAGUCUUUUUUGACAUGUAGGCUGACUUAUUCAUAGGUUUCGGGGAUUAGGACACCGACAUCUUUGGGGGCCAUUAUUCUGUCUACCACAGAAGACUUGAGUUCCAUACCUAGUUCAUCAACUCUCUAGAGAUGUUACUUUGCGAAAAUGUUUUCAGCUCUCCAGAGCAUAGAUUUUUUUAUCUGUGUAAUAAUUCUAACACUAUUCUACAUCACAGGCUUGCUCUCAGUAUUAAAUGAGUGAAUGUACGUGAAAGCACUUUGUAAACUGCAAAGGCUAAAUAAAGAUAAGGGAUAUUAUUUCA